UGACUGGAAGUGGUGGAACCUCUCUUCGACCUCAUUGAAUGGCUGACUGCCGCUGGGGAAGGAUCUCUCUCUGAAGGUCCCUCCUUGGUGGAACUUUCCCAUGCAAACCUGGAAUCUUCUGAUAUGGAGACCUUUGAAGUGCUUGGUGGUGUGCUGAGGAAGGUUCUUGGAUCCCAAAGCAAGAAGCAAAGCCACUUGGCUUUGAAAAGAGGUGCGGAAAAGCUUAAGGAAUUAACGAGGACUACUGGGAAAUCACUCACCAGGAACUUUCAGUGCUCUCAACUCAGGAAAGAAAUAGGAAGAAAAUCCUUUAUGUGCACUUCUUUUUCUCCCAACAAGAAUAUAUCUGUCAAGAGAAACAGAUGUUCUCUAUGAAAAAUCUUCUUUAAUUACAAGUCUGUCAAAAGGAGGU